GCCUGGGUAGCUCAGGUGGUAGAGCAGGGGACUGAAAAUCCCCGUGUCGGCGGUUCGACUCCGUCCCCAGGCACCA
rnacentral:tRNA from 1 species